CCUACGGGAGGCAGCAGUGAGGAAUAUUGGUCAAUGGACGAGAGUCUGAACCAGCCAAGUAGCGUGAAGGAUGACUGCCCUAUGGGUUGUAAACUUCUUUUAUAAAGGAAUAAAACGAGGCACGUGUGCCUUUUUGCAUGUACUUUAUGAAUAAGGAUCGGCUAACUCCGUGCCACCAGCCGCGGUAAUACGUAGGUGGCAAGCGUUGUCCGGAAUUACUGGGUGUAAAGGGAGCGCAGGCGGGAUGCCAAGUCAGCUGUGAAAACUACGGGCUUAACUUGUAGACUGCAGUUGAUACUGGCAGUCUUGAGUACAGUUGAGGUAGGCGGAAUUCGUGGUGUAGCGGUGAAAUGCUUAGAUAUCACGAAGAACCCCGAUUGCGAAGGCAGCUUACUAAACUGUGACUGACAUUGAUGCUCGAAAGUGUGGGUAUCAAACAGGAUUAGAUACCCCAGUAGUC
rnacentral:rRNA from 1 species